rnacentral:rRNA from 1 species
CCUACGGGAGGCAGCAGUCGAGAAUCAUUCACAAUGGGGGAAACCCUGAUGGUGCGACGCCGCGUGGGGGAAUGAAGGUCUUCGGAUUGUAAACCCCUGUCAUGUGGGAGCAAAUUAAAAAGAUAGUACCACAACAGGAAGAGACGGCUAACUCUGUGCCAGCAGCCGCGGUAAUAAAGAGGUCUCAAGCGUUGUUCGGAAGCACUGGGCGUAAGCGGUGCGUAGGCUGUUUCGUAAGUCGUGUGUGAAAGGCGCGGGCUCAACCCGCGGACGGCACAUGAUACUGCGAGACUAGAGUAAUGGAGGGGGAACCGGAAUUCUCGGUGUAGCAGUGAAAUGCGUAGAUAUCGAGAGGAACACUCGUGGCGAAGGCGGGUUCCUGGACAUUAACUGACGCUGAGGCACGAAGGCCAGGGGAGCGAAAGGGAUUAGAUACCCCUGUAGUC